CCUGUCCACCUCAUUACAUCCCGAUUACUGAGCCAGAGCUGUGUAGAUUUUUAAUAUAAUACUCUCUGUCCUUUUAGCUGUGUUAUUGUCUCCAUUAACUCAUGAAAGAAAAACAUCUGCCUCUCUAAGACUGAAAACACCAUCACUGAGAUGGAGCCAACACAGGUAACAACAGACCUGAACCACCUCAGUCCUGGACCAGAUGCUCCCUGUCCUCCCACCUGCUGAGACCUGCUCCCUUCCUUUUAUCUACAGAAGGUCCCACAGCAAUGAACCGGGCGACACCUGAGUCCAUCCACUGGGCUGAUUUAAUCUGGAUUAGGUUCUAAUCCUCAGAAUAAACCUGAUCUGUCACAGACGUCACAUUUAAUACAAAUACAAAACAAAAAUAAUUUCA